rnacentral:rRNA from 1 species
CCUACGGGAGGCAGCAGUAGGGAAUCUUCCGCAAUGGACGAAAGUCUGACGGAGCAACGCCGCGUGAACGAUGAAGGCCUUCGGGUCGUAAAGUUCUGUUGUUAGGGAAGAACAAGUGCUAGUUAAAUAAGCUGGCACCUUGACGGUACCUAACCAGAAAGCCACGGCUAACUACGUGCCAGCAGCCGCGGUAAUACGUAGGUGGCAAGCGUUGUCCGGAAUUAUUGGGCGUAAAGCGCGCGCAGGCGGUUUCUUAAGUCUGAUGUGAAAGCCCCCGGCUCAACCGGGGAGGGUCAUUGGAAACUGGGAAACUUGAGUGCAGAAGAGGAAAGUGGAAUUCCAAGUGUAGCGGUGAAAUGCGUAGAGAUUUGGAGGAACACCAGUGGCGAAGGCGACUUUCUGGUCUGUAACUGACGCUGAGGCGCGAAAGCGUGGGGAGCAAACAGGAUUAGAUACCCUGGUGGUCCACGCUGUAAACGAUGAGUGCUAAGUGUUAGAGGGUUUCCGCCCUUUAGUGCUGAAGUUAACGCAUUAAGCACUCCGCCUGGGGAGUACGGUCGCAAGACUGAAACUCAAAUGAAUUGACGG